UAUUCUUUUGUUAGAAUA
rnacentral:tRNA from 2 species